rnacentral:rRNA from 1 species
UACGGAGGGUGCAAGCGUUAUCCGGAUUUACUGGGUUUAAAGGGUGCGUAGGUGGAUAAGUAAGUCAGUGGUGAAAUCUCCGGGCUUAACCCGGAAACUGCCAUUGAUACUAUUUGUCUUGAAUACUUUGGAGGUAAGCGGAAUAUGUCAUGUAGCGGUGAAAUGCUUAGAUAUGACAUAGAACACCAAUUGCGAAGGCAGCUUACUAGACAGUAAUUGACACUGAGGCACGAAAGCGUGGGGAUCAAACAGG